GGUAGCCCAGUGACAGAGCACUUGGUUUGCAUGCAGGAGGUUCCAGGUUCAAUCCCUGGAAUCUCCA